rnacentral:lncRNA from 1 species
CGCGACGCGGCGGAGCGUGUGGAGCGGCGCCGGCUGGAGUUUGUGCUCUUGCGUCCUUGCGAGACUCUCGCCCGGGUGUUCCCGGGCCUCUCCGGACCUGGCGAAGCACACGAUCCCGGCUCGGGGCCCCCGUUCCGACCCGUGUCUGUUGGUUGCUGAAAGUUCCACUCGAAGAUUAUAAGAAGAAAGAUGCAGUUUAAUCUUCGAGGGAUCCUGACAGUCUUAAGAUUCCCUAUGCCCCUCCAAGAAAAUCUUGUCUGCUGUGAAAACCCUAUGAUUACCUGAGUUAUGGUCCAAAAAAACUAGUGUAAAAGCCAGACAACAGGGGCUGAAGAGAUGGCUCAGAGGUUUGAUCUUCCAGAGGACUUGGGUUCAAUUCUCAGUACCUACAUGGCACCUCAAAACUGUAACUCCAGGAUCCAGCAGCCUCAUACAGACAUACAUACAGGCAGCUGAUGUCCUCAAGGCAGGGGAGUGACGCUGUCCUCUCUCCCGUGUCACAUCCGGGUCCCCAACAUCCUCUAGCCUCUUCAUGUGUUUGUGGAUGUAGUGCACACUGAAGUUAUCACAAAGUCCCCAUGCAACAACAACUAGCCCCACCCUCAUAGCGUCUGAGGGAAUAUAGUUCAUCUCGGUGAGUGAGCAUAUUUAUCCUGUCUACCAAGCCUUGAGUCAGCUCACUUGGUUUCUAUGGGUGUUACUUUGCUGACAACCCAGCAGAGGUUGUUUCUUACUGUUAACAAGAUGUGAUUCUAAAUCACUAUUGCCCUGGGACCUGCUGUAAAGAAGAAACUGGAGGAUUUACCAAGAGUUCAAAGCUAGCCUGGACACUAUAAAAUCUAUCUUGAUUGAAUGGAUGUAGUAGUUUGGUAGCUGCUGUGACCUCUUGCGAAAUCAAUGUCAACCAUCCACUUGGUACAUCUAGAUUGAUCUGGGAUGGGCCCAGAUCAAUCAGUCUUGCCUCUGAGCAAGACUGAGGAUGAUCUUAUUUUUUCUUUGUUUUUCCCCAG